ACUAACCAAAGGUCCCAUGCAAGGGAUAUGAUAUCGUGCUCAUCCAUAAAAGCUGAGGGACAUGGGGAGGAAAGGUGACACCUAUGAUUGCAGUUCUCUCAAGCAACUACUAUGCACACUGAGGCCUUGCUUCCCAGGAUGUGAUUGGACAUCUGCCUGAUGAUGAGAGAGCAUCCAAGAAUGAGUGGAUGAUGCAGGAAGCCUGCACAGGAGUCCAGUUUGCCACCACAGCAUUUCUCACUAUGUGCAGCAGUUCUAUCAGCAGGAAAAAAAACCCACAAUCAAUGAUUUCUGUCAAGGACUUUAAUUGUGGAACUGUCCCACACCAUUACAGAUAGAUCUCACAAGCCAAGAGACUGGGGGAAAAGCAUGUGGUUGUUCUGGAGUCCUUUGGGAGAUCUGCAGGAACAGGAGUCUUCUGUUUCACUCCUGUGUUCCAGAAAAGAGGUAAAAAACACAGUUUUGUCUACAGAGCAGUUUUCACUUCCAGUAUGCCAAUUGUCUUUCCUAGCUGUCACCUGCACUCCACAGCUGCCAGAGUUCCCUCUGUUUCAAGUCUGCAUGUGUCAGUCACUCAGAAAUAACACAGAGCAGUGAGGAACAGCUUUUAAAUUACAGUGAAAGAAGCAGGCCAUGCAUGGACAGGAAAAACACAAGCCUCUAAUUGCUUGGGAGCCCUUGGAGAUGAAAGUACCACAGGAAUGCCACAUGGCAGUGCUGCUAGCAUUCAUGCUGUGCUUCUAACUAAAGUAGCUUUCCAUAUGGACCAGUUGUGGAGAGAGACAAUAAUGGAACUGGAGAAAAUCACACAGCUCAUUAAAUCUGAUGGCCUGCUAUGUAACAACAUGGGGAAGUACAUGGAGUAAGCUUCUUCACACAGUGGAAAUCACUGUCCAAAGCUGUCCAUUCCCCACUAGCUGCACUGAAAGCCCCAGGAAAAAUGCAUUGGGGGAACAAGGAAGGUCCUUUGGAGCUGACUGCAAGUAAAGCAGCUGAUUGGCAUUUGUAGCAGUCUUUGUGAAGAAAACCAGGGUGGACAAGCCAGAAGAACAUUGUGUUUCUGAGAUGACUGCAGGAUUGUACUGGAGAGAGGGAGAAGUGCCUCCUGCUGUGCUGGUAUGUGCAAGGUACACAAACUGAGGGAAUAUCCAGCUCACAUUUCCUCCUGCUGGAAGUAAGGCAUCGAGUUCCAGCUGCCAAUAGGCUGCCCAGACCAAAAGCUCACCUAUUUUCCAAGCCCUUAGGUAAAAAUAGAGAAAUCGUAAGUUGCAAGUAAAGCUUCUGCUCUAUUAUUGUACCAAAGCACUGCAUCUCAAAUAAAGCCGGUGAUACUACUUUUUGUGCGCUUCGGGGCAAGCUGCAAUCCCUUAUCUAACGGCACACGAGCCUGCAGACAGCCCAGGGUAAAUGAGAUCAUUACCAUACACAGACAGUCAUCACCCUGCUUGCUUCCAGCAAGGGAUCGACUUCCUUUUGCUGGGAGACCCUAUCUUCACAACCAGCACUCUGAGCCCUCCGGA